UACGUAGGGGGCGAGCGUUGUCCGGAAUUACUGGGCGUAAAGGGCGCGUAGGCGGUCUGGCAAGUCAGAUGUGAAACCCCUAAGCUUAACUAAGGGCAUGCAUUUGAGACUGUCAGGCUAGAGUGCAGGAGAGGGAAGUGGAAUUCCUAGUGUAGCGGUGAAAUGCGUAGAUAUUAGGAGGAACACCAGUGGCGAAGGCGGCUUCCUGGACUGUAACAGACGCUGAGGCGCGAAAGCGUGGGGAGCAAACAGG
rnacentral:rRNA from 1 species